UACGUAGGGUGCGAGCGUUGUCCGGAUUUAUUGGGCGUAAAGAGCUCGUAGGCGGUUUGUCGCGUCUGCUGUGAAAACGCGGGGCUCAACUCCGCGCCUGCAGUGGGUACGGGCAGACUAGAGUGCAGUAGGGGAGACUGGAAUUCCUGGUGUAGCGGUGGAAUGCGCAGAUAUCAGGAGGAACACCAAUGGCGAAGGCAGAUCUCUGGGCCGUAACUGACGCUGAGGAGCGAAAGCAUGGGGAGCGAACAGG
rnacentral:rRNA from 1 species